rnacentral:rRNA from 1 species
UACGUAGGGGGCAAGCGUUGUCCGGAAUCACUGGGCGUAAAGUGCACGCAGGCGGCCUGAUAAGUCAGAUGUGAAAGUUUGCAGCUCAACUGUAAAAGUGCAUCUGAUACUGUUAGGCUUGAGUCUCGGAGAGGUAAGCGGAAUUCCUAGUGUAGCGGUGAAAUGCGUAGAGAUUAGGAAGAACACCGGUGGCGAAGGCGGCUUACUGGACGAGUACUGACGCUCAUGUGCGAAAGCGUGGGGAGCGAACAGGA